rnacentral:rRNA from 1 species
UACGUAGGAGGCAAGCGUUGUCCGGAACUACUGGGCGUAAAGCGCGUGUAGGUGGUGGGACAAGUCUGCUGUGAAAGCGCCUGGCUUAACCGGGCGAGGUCGGCGGAAACUGUCCGACUAGAGGACGGUAGAGGGGGGUGGAAUUCCCGGUGUAGUGGUGAAAUGCGUAGAGAUCGGGAGGAACACCUGUGGCGAAGGCGGCCAUCUGGACCAGCACUGACACUGAGGCACGAAAGCGUGGGGAGCAAACAGG